rnacentral:rRNA from 1 species
GACGUAGGGCGCGAGCGUUGUCCGGAUUUAUUGGGCGUAAAGAGCUCGUAGGCGGCUUGUCGCGUCGACUGUGAAAACCCGCGGCUCAACUGCGGGCCUGCAGCCGAUACGGGCAGGCUAGAGUUCGGUAGGGGAGACUGGAAUUCCUGGUGUAGCGGUGAAAUGCGUAGAUAUCGGAAGGAACAUCAGUGGCGAAAAGCGGCUUCCUGGUCCAGCACCGACGUUCAGGCACGAAAGCGUGGGGAGCAAACAGG